CAAUGAAUGCUGUAUGUGUGUGAGUGUGUGUGUGUGUGCUCUCAUGGCCAUCGUCGUCGCCAUUGCUGUUGCUUGCUCGCUCGCUCGAUUGCUUGCUUGCUUGCUGCCGUUGUCGUGGUCGCUGUCCGUCACGUACUUCGUACGGUGACCUCAUUGAUUUUUUUUUUUUUUUUUUUUUUUUUUUUCCAACUCUGAUGGCCCCAGCGCCUACUGCUACACGCCCGACCAUUGCAGCGUGAUAGUGUGUCAAUCUGGAACAGUGUGACGAGAGCUUCUUUUCCGCUUUUUUACUUUCUAUAUGGUUGAAAGUAGACAGUGCAAUUUAUUGAGUUCGGGCGGGAGGUUGGAUGCGGCGGUUUUUGGAGAUUUUCGAAGGAUUGGGGAUCGAUAACAGACAGUGGAUGGCUUUGAGUUAGGCAAUUGGCACUGGGUUCUUUUUGUAUUGUGGAGCGAGUGGCAUUAUUGAUUCUUGUAGGUCGAGCUGGAUGUGGAUGAUGAUGAUGAUGAUCAUCGUCGUUGUUAUCAAGGUUUGAUGGCCUCUUGGUAGGUAAGGUCAUUUCUACUGCGGCUGCAGCUGCAGUUCUGUUCUCAGGACAAACUCUCCAGGUUCCUUCCGGGUGCCGGAGUAGCAUUUCGGAGGGCCUCUGUUGAGGUUUUGGUUGCAGAAUACUUGGCUUUAUUUUGGUGGCUCAUAUUUCGUCCUUCUGUGUGAUGCUGAUAGAGUGGCCUUAGUAUCUGCAAUUUGAUUACUGCUUGUUUGAUAGCCAUAGCAGAAAUCUUUGGAGGAACGUUUUGGGAAGAACUUCCAGUUUUAAGCAAAUACCUGGUGUAGAGCUUGGCUGAAACUCUGAAGAGCGGACAAGUAACAAGAUUUGAAGCUAUGGCAGCUGUGACGGAUCAUGGAUAGAAAUCAGAAUUCGCAUUUCAGUGACGUUGUGAUGGUUAUGCUUAAAUUGGGUACUUGACGGCUUUCAGAGUGGCGAAGUACUCCCUCAGCAGGUUCAGCUGACGGUUUAUUCCUGAUUUUGUAACCUUCAGAGCUGGUACUAAAUAAAUAACAAUCCAUGUGCAUAAAGCGAAGCUUCUUGUGCUUAAACUGUCCCUGAAGGGUAAUUCCAGUUGACUGUUUUCAGACACUCGGACAGAACCUCGCAUAUGAGCAGCUGCAAGCGUGACUGAAAAAUGAAAAACAGAUUUAUGCUGCGGGUGUCUACGACUGACCUUCACUUCUUCUUCAAAUUGAUCGUUAUUAUCAACUUGUGGGCACAAGGCACGGAGCCUGUGGUGUCUCAACAAUCCAGCAACAAUACAGAGAUUACCAUACCCCUCGGAGAAAGGCUCGUCGCAGGUGAUGCUGAUCAGUCUUGGAUAUCAUCACCCAACGGAAAUUUUUCCUUUGGCUUCUAUGCUAUUGACGGUGGAAAGACUACAGUUAGCUACAAGUUUGGCAUGUGGUAUACGCAUGUACCUGUACAAACAAUCGUGUGGGGAUUAGUGGAGAACAAUGCUUCGUUCGCUGCUGGGACAAAGUUAGCACUCACCUCCACCGGAAAUCUCGAGCUUCGUAACUCGGAUGCCUCUCAAGGUCUUAAUUGGUCCAGCAAUACGGCCAGCCUUGGCGUCAGUGGGGCGGCCUUCAAUGAUUCAGGGAAUUUUAUUCUGUUAAAUAGCACUGGUUCACAUCUAUGGCAGAGCUGGAAUCACCCUUCAGACACUCUUCUGCCAGGCCAGGUUUUGUCUCAGGGGAAAAAUCUCACGGCUGCCGAGAGCCCUCACCUUUCAAGUGCAGGCGUGAGCCGGUAUACACUUGCUUUCAUGACAGACGGGAAUUUGGUGCUGCGUUUUAAUAGAACAACUGAUUAUUGGAGUACCGAUUCCUCAGGGGGCUCUAGUGUUUCCUUUGAUGAGUUCGGAACUUUUCAAUUGCUGAAUAGCUCAGGAUCUGCAGCUUCGUACCGGAGCAGAGACUACGGGGUAGGGCCACUUAGAAGGUUGGUUCUGACAUCGAAUGGAAAUUUAGAGACUUUGAGUUGGGAUGAUGUGGCGAAGGAAUGGAUGUCAAAAUGGCAAGCUUUACCUAAUGCAUGUGAGAUUUACGGCUGGUGUGGGAAGCAUGGACUGUGUGCGUAUUCAGAGACGGGGCCUGUUUGCUCUUGUUUGCCAGGUUAUCAGGCUAUCAAUUCCAACAGCCCACGAGAAGGGUGCCGUUUGAUGAUCGCCCUCAAUUGCACCGCAGGAGUGAAAAUGGUGACGCUGGAGAAUACAUUCAUACUUGAUUACAGAUCCGACUUCCUCAUAAACAGUGCUAACAGUGAGAGUUGUGCUAAAAAGUGUUUAGACGAUACGGGCGCUGGGGGCACCUUGCAAUGUGUGGCUUCCACUUUAAUGAAUGACGGCACCGCUUUCUGCAAGGAGAAACGUAAUCAAUUCUUCAGCGCUUACCGGUCCUCCAUCAUUCCAUCCCAGACUUUUGUCAAGCUUUGCAAUGACCAGGAGGUAACGCUGGGAUUGCUAUCCAUUGGCUGCACUCGCUCUGGUUCUCGAUAUUCCAGAGGAGUUUUGGUGGCUCUAGGUUGCGUUUCCACCCUAGCGGUCCUUCUUUUGCUGCUACUUGCACGGCCAUGUUUGUCUCGGUGGAUGAAAUCGAAUGCAUUCGAGCACAGCAGAAGACGCCCUCGGUCGCCAUCUCCUGAUUAUGUGCCUGGUGCGCCAGUAAGACUAACGUACCGGGAGCUUCAAAAGGCUACCAGGAAUUUUAGCGAAAAGCUGGGGGAUGGUGGAUUCGGGACAGUGUACAAGGGUGUGCUUGCAGACGGCACAGUCGUAGCUGUGAAACAAUUGGAGAAUGUUGUUGACCAAGGUGAACGAGAGUUUCGAACUGAAGUUUCAGUAAUUGGCAGUACGCAUCAUGUUAAUUUGGUCCACCUCCAUGGUUACUGCACAGAGAGAGUGCACAGAUUGCUGGUUUACGAAUAUCUAAGCAAAGGCUCACUGGACCACUAUCUUGUGCAAGGAGGUGAACCAAAUACUACCUCGAGCAGCUCCUCAAGUAGCAGGAGCGCGACUUCUCAACCUCCAAUACCGUUGGAUUGGAAGACACGAUUCACAAUAGCACUCGGAACAGCACGCGGCAUCAUGUACUUGCACGAGGAGUGCCGUGAAUGUAUCGUACAUUGCGACAUCAAGCCCGAGAACAUACUCUUGGACGAAACCUUCUGUCCCAAAGUUUCCGAUUUUGGCUUGGCGAAGCUUUUAGGGCUAAGGAAUCGCGAGCGCCACAUAACCACCAUUCGAGGCACCAGGGGAUAUCUUGCGCCGGAAUGGAGCGCAAGUUUACCACUGACGGCCAAGGCAGAUGUAUACAGCUAUGGUAUGGUUCUCCUUGAGCUUGUGGUUGGAAGGAGGACACUGGAUGACAUGGCAGGCGAAGCUGAACUCAUCCGGUUUCCCAAGUGGGUCUUUCGGGACAUGAUUGAUGGCAGCCUUGUAAAACGCACUAAAGAGCAAGCUCGGAAGCUCGGACAAUCUGUCGAUUUGGACCAGUUUGAGAGAACCAUUUUCACGGCCUUCUGGUGCAUUCAAGAUGAACCAACGGCGCGACCGAGUAUGGGGAAAGUUGUGCAAAUGCUCGAAGGCAUUAUCCCCGUCGACUUUCCCCUUGAACCACUGAAUAUCCGAAAACUCUGAGGGUCCAGCUGCAGAUGUGGUCUUAAUCCUUAGGUCGACUCGAUAAUGCUAUUUUGAGGAUUCUGCCAUGUACAUUAACUUGACAGGCUUGUGUCGAUCACCUUAAUUUCAGCUACCCCCACAAUUGUCCGAAGUCUAUUCUAUGUACAACAUCAAUGUAGAUCCAUAAAAUUCAGUUCUAGACAUCAAUUCUCAUCGCGACGUCCUGAAACUUCUCACAUGCAAGUGUAGCUCUCAAUGUUCUGGUCUCAAUCUUUUUCACUAUGUGCAACUGGAAAGGAAUUGAAGAAAGUAUCGGAGGUAUAGCAGCCUUUGACCUGGACGUGUCUUCUGCUAUCAUGAGAAGUUUUCAAUCAACCAGAACAUCGUUUUCUGAAGUUACUGUGGAGGUGGUUGUUUUUGUACUGGUUUACUCGAGUUUAUGUAAGGCAGUGUCCACUACUGUUUCAGCGGGUCUGCUUAUCUGGUUCGUCAAGUCUUAGGCACCCUGGUAGUGGCAUGGAAGCAAAGCUCGGCAAAGCCUUUGUAAGGGGACCGACAUCGAAGUAGCCACCAGAAAUCUGAGCAAGCCUGCGGAGUGCAAAGGUAUUGACUCCGACCAUAACCAGGCAUGACAAUGACAUAACAUUUAAGAAAAUCCGGAAUCUGCUAAGGUGGUUUGACACCGAGGGACAACUUGGAGGGGACGAAGGACAAGGCUCUUGGAGUGUUGGACAUCUCAUUUUGCAAUGAUGUCAGUAAGUGUUUCGAUAGCACAGUAUAUUCAAAAGAAAGUUUGGACACAAAGAAGGCAACGCAAGCGGGAGCACAGCAAGUGAGGAUGGACUUCGCGAGUCAUCACAAAUAAGUACGAAAAUUAGAAAAAAGUUAACAAGAAUGUGUCGUCCACAGUAGUCUUGUUAACACGUAAUGAUAUUUUUCUUAAACGUACAAAGUGUUGUCAACAAGUACGAGUAAUCACAUGUUGGCGCUUGAA